AAAUUGAAGAGUUUGAUCAUGGCUCAGAUUGAACGCUGGCGGCAGGCCUAACACAUGCAAGUCGAACGGUAACAGGAAGCAGCUUGCUGUUUCGCUGACGAGUGGCGGACGGGUGAGUAAUGUCUGGGAAACUGCCUGAUGGAGGGGGAUAACUACUGGAAACGGUAGCUAAUACCGCAUAACGUCGCAAGACCAAAGAGGGGGACCUUCGGGCCUCUUGCCAUCGGAUGUGCCCAGAUGGGAUUAGCUAGUAGGUGGGGUAACGGCUCACCUAGGCGACGAUCCCUAGCUGGUCUGAGAGGAUGACCAGCCACACUGGAACUGAGACACGGUCCAGACUCCUACGGGAGGCAGCAGUGGGGAAUAUUGCACAAUGGGCGCAAGCCUGAUGCAGCCAUGCCGCGUGUAUGAAGAAGGCCUUCGGGUUGUAAAGUACUUUCAGCGGGGAGGAAGGGAGUAAAGUUAAUACCUUUACUCAUUGACGUUACCCGCAGAAGAAGCACCGGCUAACUCCGUGCCAGCAGCCGCGGUAAUACGGAGGGUGCAAGCGUUAAUCGGAAUUACUGGGCGUAAAGCGCACGCAGGCGGUUUGUUAAGUCAGAUGUGAAAUCCCCGGGCUCAACCUGGGAACUGCAUCUGAUACUGGCAAGCUUGAGUCUCGUAGAGGGGGG
rnacentral:rRNA from 1 species